AUAAAAUGCCCACAGGCGAUUGUGCGUGUUUAAGAACAAAGCACAAGUUCACCACAAUCGAACUUCCUCCUCCUAUUCUUGCUCUUCUCAGAGGGAUGUCCGCUACAGCUAUGAGCUUAAAGCGAGGCAUUAUAUCAUUCCUCAACGUUGAUGACAGCAGAUUCACCCGUGUUGAUGAAAUUGAAUUCGCCCCAUAUUUUUCUAAGUACUCGUGGGGUUUCUUCCGCCGAAAAACCAAGCUUCUUUGUCGCAAGUGUUGCAACCAUAUUGCACUUCAUCAUUCUUUCCCCUCGUAUCAAACAGAACAGAACCAUCACCACCCACCGAAGCAUCAAGUCCAAUGAAAUACGACAUUCGCAUUCGUGCUUUACAGCCUUCAUCUUCUCAAGAAUAUGGAAUCACUGUCUUAGCUUAAAAUUUUAAAUACGUGUUAAAAAAUUGUUAUCACUAAGUAACUCUACAAGGAGAUUCUGAUUUCAUUUUUUAUAGAUGUAAAGUUCUGUUUUGGCAAGGGUGUUGUGUUCCCCUUUCCUUCUGUCGCAAGUGUGAUCAAUAUAUACACACUCGUAUAUAAAAGUUGUAGAUGUGGGAUUUUUGGAAUGUUAAGUUACAUUUUGCAAAACGACUAAGAAAGAACGAAUAUUUUUGGCUCGUGCUACUUCGUAAGUCAGAAGGUAUUAUCUAGCUUUGAAUAGUCAGAUGUGGAUUAACCUCACAAUGUAUGAAUAUAUUGUUUUAUA